AGUUGUUUGGGAUUGCAGCUCAAAAUGGGAGGUAAAUUUCUCCUAAGGCUAAAUACAGGCGAGAGACCGAUAGCGAACAAGUACCGUGAGGGAAAGAUGAAAAGAACUUUGAAAAGAGAGUCAAACAGUACGUGAAAUUGUUGAAAGGGAAACGAUUAAAGUCAGUCGUACUGAUGGGGAAUCAACCUUUUGAGUGUGGAUUCGUGGGAUUCAGAGAGUCUUUGUCCUUGCGAUAUUCGCGUUUUUUUGGUGCACUUCCUCGUUUGUAGGUUAGCAUCGGUUUUGACCGUUAUAAAAUGAUCGGAGGGAUGUAGCUUCGAUUUCGAUUGAAGUGUUAUAACCUUUGGUAGCUGUAACUGUCGGGACCGAGGAUUGCAACGGAUACCCUAACGGGCUAUUCGUCUGAUCUCUGAUACGUCACUUUGGCGUCGAAAGCUUGCUUACGAUGUUGAAGGCGUCGGUCAAAAGGUAGAACGGAUUAAAUUCGUUAAGGAUGUUGACGUA
rnacentral:rRNA from 1 species